AGCCUCUCAGGGACUCUCGAGCCAUUGACCUCAGACUGAGGGCUACACUGUCAGCUCCUCUGAUUGUGAGGCCUUUGGACUGGGACUGACCCGCACUAGUGGCUUCUCUCUUUUCCCAACUUGUAGGGAGCCUAUCAUGGGAUUUUGCCUUGUAAUUAUGUGAGCCAGUUCUCCCUAAUAAACUCCCUUUUAUAUAUACAUAUAUCCUAUUGUCUCGGUCUUUCUCGAGAACCCUCACUAAUAAUAUGCCUGAUUAUCAAUAUCUCCCUUCCUUUCUUUUUUCUUUUUUGAGAUAGAGUUUCGCUCUUGUUACCCAGACUGGAGUGCAAUGGCGCGAUCUCGGCUCACCACAACCUCCGCCUCCUGGGUUCAGGCAAUUCUCCUGCCUCAGCCUCCUGAGUAGCUGGGAUUACAGGCAUGCACCACUAUGCCCAGCUAAUUUUUUGUGUAUUUAGUAGAGAUGGGGUUUCACCAUGUUGACCAGGAUGGUCUUGAUCUCUGGACCUCGUGAUCCACCCACCUCGGCCUCCCAAAGUGCUGGGAUUACAGGCUUGAGCCACUGCACCCGGCCCAAUAUCUCCCUUUCUACUGAAUAUUACAAAAAUAAUUGAAAAAAUUAAAUAAGGUAUAAACAAAUUGAAAGAUAUUUCAUGUUCUUCGAUCAGAAGACUUAAUACUGUCAACAUAGCAUUGUUCCCCAAAUUCAUCUACAGAGUCGAUGCAAACCCUAUUAGAAUUCCAUCUAGCUUCUUUGCAGAAAUUGGGAAGCUGAUCCUAAAAUUCAUAUGGAAAUAUAAGGGAGCCAAAAUAGCCAAACAAACUUGUAAAAGAACAAAUUUGGAGAACUCACACUUCCUGAUUUCAAAACUUACUAGGAAGCUACAAUAAUCAAGAUAAUGUGGUACUCACAUAAGGGCAGACAUAUAUAUCAAUAGAAGGUCCAGAAAUCAACUCUUAUAUUUAUGUUCAAUUGAUUUUUGGCAAAAGUUCCGAGUCUAUUUUAUAAGGAAGAAAUGGUCUUUUCAACAAAUGAUGCUGAGAUAACUGAAUCCCCAUAUGCAAAAGAAUGAAGUCAGACUCUCACUUAGAACCAUAUACAAAUAUUAACAUAAAAUGGAUACAGGUCUAAAUGUAAAAGGUAAAAGGAUAAAACACUUUUAAAAUUUUGGGGGAUAAAUCUCUUUGACCUUGACUUUGGCAAUGUUUUCCUGAAAGUGACACCAAAAGCACAAUAAUGAUGACAACAACAGAAAUAGAAAAAUUGGACUUUAUCAAAAUUAAAGAUUUUGUGGAUCAAAGUACAUUAUUCCUUGAAUGAAAAAACAAUCCACAGAAUAGGAGAAAAU
rnacentral:lncRNA from 1 species